AAGGCUUGACAUGCACCCUGACGCUGCAGAGAUGUGGUGGCAUUUGGUUGGGGGUGUGCAGGUGGUGCAUGGUU
rnacentral:rRNA from 1 species